UACGGGGGGGGCAAGCGUUGUUCGGAAUUACUGGGCGUAAAGGGCGCGUAGGCGGUCAGACCAAGUCGAGUGUGAAAUUCCAGGGCUUAACUCUGGCGCGCUCGCUCGAUACUGGUCGGCUAGAGUGUGGAAGAGGAUGCUGGAAUUCCCGGUGUAGCGGUGAAAUGCGUAGAUAUCUGGAGGAACACCGGUGGCGAAGGCGGCAUCCUGGACCAAUUCUGACGCUGAGUGAGCGAAAGCCAGGGGAGCAAACGGG
rnacentral:rRNA from 1 species